UGAGCCCCUAAACUGCAUCAGCACUAGAGGUAAAAGCUUCCAAACCAUCUCCGGUGAAAAAAGAAAAAACAUUAAAAGCUCUUUAGAAGCCCUCUGAAAUGUCUGAGUUCUUUAAAAGUAGCUUAAUAUAUUUCUAGUCUCAGCCCUUACUCUCUAAUCCCCCAGUCUCGUUCCCUGUUCAUUCUCUUUCAACCAACUCCACCACAAAAGCCAGGGCUUCCUCUAUCCAGUAUUCCGGUUGUUCGUGGUGCCAUCCUGCUUUGGCCAGAGUAUGCACAGCGCUAUUAGCCAGACUAGGGAGUCUCCUUCCAUAAAGAUAUCUCGAAAGCCCAGAUCUUCCCCAAAUUUGACAGCAUGCAAACACGCCCAGGAAUACAUGAUGCCAUUACAAGUCCCUCUUUAUUUCUAGCAAUAAUACCUGCUCUUGAAAUGUUUGGUUCCUGAUGAAAAGAUGCAUCAAAUUUGAUCUUAAUCUUGUCUUCAUUGGGUGGUUCCCAGUUAACAUUUUUUAGUACUGUUUUUGGCACCAGAACACUUUCCAUUGACUCAUUUUCCAUCAUGUAAGCUUUAAUAAAAGAGACCACCUCACACAUUCGAUUUUAAA